ACGGAAGGCAGCAGUGGGGAAUAUUGCACAAUGGGCGCAAGCCUGAUGCAGCAACGCCGCGUGAGUGAAGAAGGUCUUCGGAUCGUAAAGCUCUGUCCUAAGGGAAGAAGAAGUGACGGUACCUUAGGAGGAAGCCCCGGCUAACUACGUGCCAGCAGCCGCGGUAAUACGUAGGGGGCGAGCGUUAUCCGGAAUUAUUGGGCGUAAAGAGUACGUAGGUGGUUUUGUAAGCGUGAGGUGAAAGCCUGCAGCUUAACUGCAGCGAGCCUCAUGAACUGCAAGACUUGAGUGCAGGAGGGGUAAGUGGAACUCCAUGUGUAGCGGUGAAAUGCGUAGAUAUAUGGAAGAACACCGGUGGCGAAGGCGACUUUCUGGACUGUAACUGACACUGAGGUACGAAAGCGUGGGGAGCAAACAGGAUUAGAUACCCUGGUA
rnacentral:rRNA from 1 species